UCGGUCGGACCAGUGGCGAACGGCUGAGUAACACGUGGGAACUUCCUUGAAGUUCGGAAUAACUCUCCGAAAGGAGAGCUAAUACCGGAUGUGAUCGCAAGAUCAAAGUCGCAAGACGCUUCAAGCAAGGCCUGCGCACCAUCAGGUAGUUGGCGAGGUAAAAGCUCACCAAGCCUACGACGGUUAGAGGGCCCGAGAGGGUGUACCUCCAGACGGGGACUGCGACACGGCCCCGACUCC
rnacentral:rRNA from 1 species